AUGGUGAUCGCACUAGCUCAAAGUCCACCAGCACCAGGGGAAGCUGCUGGGCUGAGAACUCUACAUCGGUGGAGCCAUCCAACAAAGGUGAGUGUGUCGAAUAAGUGCACGGUCGACUGCGAAAAGGCAGCGAUGUAUCGAAAGCGUGCGCGUGUGCGUGUGCUUUCGGCUCAAUCUAUGGCAUACAGAAAUGCUUUCUGCUCAAUCACUUCUACCAUAUCCCGAGCGCCUUUUCGAAAGAAAAACAAUAGCUUUUUGGAGAAAAUAUCCAGAGUGCGGUCUGAGUUUAGUAAGACCGAGAUUAUUUUUCUAUCAGUGUGGUAA
rnacentral:rRNA from 1 species